UCUAAUAUGGCAGAUUAGUGCCUUGGACUUAAACCCCAAAUAUAAAAUAUUUUUUAUUAGAA
rnacentral:tRNA from 1 species